UACGUAGGGGGCAAGCGUUGUCCGGAAUCAUUGGGCGUAAAGAGCGUGUAGGCGGACAGUUUAGUCAGAGGUGAAAGCCCAGGGCUCAACCUUGGAAUUGCCUUUGAUACUGGCUGUCUUGAGUUCGGGAGAGGUGAGUGGAAUGCCGAGUGUAGAGGUGAAAUUCGUAGAUAUUCGGCGGAACACCAGUGGCGAAGGCGACUCACUGGCCCGAUACUGACGCUGAGGCGCGAAAGCGUGGGGAGCAAACAGG
rnacentral:rRNA from 1 species